CCUACGGGCGGCAGCAGUGAGGAAUAUUGGUCAAUGGCCGGAAGGCUGAACCAGCCAUGCCGCGUGAAGGUCAGUGCCCUAUGGGCGUUAAACUUCUUUUGUGCGGGAGCAAUAAUGGUCACGUGUGGCCAGACGAGAGUACCGUACGAAUAAGCAUCGGCUAACACCGUGCCAGCAGCCGCGGGAAUACGGGGGAUGCAAGCGUUAUCCGGAUUUAUUGGGUUUAAAGGGUGCGUAGGCGGGGAGGUAAGUCAGCGUGGAAAUGCCCCCGCGCAACGGGGUGAAGUGCCAUGGAUACUGCCUUGCUGGAAUGCGGAUGCGGUGGGAGGAAUGUGUGGUGUAGCGGUGAAAUGCAUAGAUAGCACACAGAACACCGAUUGCGAAGGCAUCUCACGAAUCCGCGAUUGACGCUGAUGCACGAAAGCGUGGGUAUCAAACAGGAUUAGAUACCCGAGUAGUC
rnacentral:rRNA from 1 species